rnacentral:other from 1 species
AUAUCCCUGCCGUGUCCGUUGGUAAUGCUUGAAAAUUGGUGAAUCAACAGAAUAAUCAUGGGAGCCUUGAUUCUUCUGCGCCUUGGCGCAGAGAGAUGGCACCCACCUGACACCGUAAGGUUCAGCCAUCAAGCGCCAACGACACAGUGCGGGGAUUUU